UACGUAGGGGGCAAGCGUUGUUCGGAUUCAUUGGGCGUAAAGGGUGCGUAGGCGGCGCGGUAAGUCGGGUGUGAAAUCUCGGAGCUUAACUCCGAAACUGCAUUCGAUACUGCCGUGCUUGAGGACUGGAGAGGAGACUGGAAUUUACGGUGUAGCGGUGAAAUGCGUAGAUAUCGUAAGGAAGACCAGUGGCGAAGGCGGGUCUCUGGACAGUUCCUGACGCUGAGGCACGAAGGUCAGGGGAGCAAACGGGAUUAGA
rnacentral:rRNA from 1 species